UUUCGCUCACCCGAAAAUCCAGU
rnacentral:miRNA from 1 species